AGAGAGAGAGAGAGAACGGAGCAGCUAAAUCGUUAAUGAUUUCCUCAGAAAUCAAAGCAAUUAAAAGUUACCUACAACAACUGUACCAUGAAUCACUUGAUCAUUGAAUAACAGCAAAGAUGGCGAGAUGAAUUAUUCAGUCUCUUUGAAACAACAGCAAAAAGAAUUCGGAUCCAAUUCGGAUUUGAUUUCGGGUCAACUCAUCUAUAGCUUUAGAACUUAUGUUUGCAUUCCUGCGAGCCUAAAUAAUUUUAUAGAAUCAAAUCGGGUGGGUUUGUAGAAUUGAAAAUCUAAAAUUAUCCAAAUUUCAAACGGAUCGGACCGGGUCUGAAUUCAGUAAACUAAGACCCGAUCCGAAAAAUAGAAUAGGUCUAAUUUUAGGAUCCAACUUGGCCCAACGGGUCCUCCAAAAAUGGAUCAGGUCGGAUCUAAGCAAGUCAGGUCGGUUCACGGGUCAACCCGACCCAUUUGCAGCCUUAACUAUAGCCGAGGAGUAGUUUUUCAAAUCCCUUUUAUUAUAAUGCAUUAGAUACAACAAUGAACAAAAAGAUAGAUUUGCACAAAAGAACCAAGUACCACACAAAUUUAUUCUUUUCAAAACCCAAAAAAUAUUCUACGAAGACACGUGUGGGCAUGUGUUUAGUCCCACAUUGGUUAU
rnacentral:lncRNA from 1 species